rnacentral:lncRNA from 1 species
GAUCUCCACGUCUUGGAGGCCGCCGGCAUAGGUGUGCGCCUGGCAGAACCUCACAAAUACACAUGCACGCAGGCCCCGACUGAAUCCAGGGCUGUAGGGGCUAAAGAGGUCUAGGUCAGUAGAGGCCUGAAGCCCAGGCUGGUCUGUCCAAGGAAAAAGGAGCGUGAUUGGUACCAGAUCUUCGUUCCCUGCAGAACCUUGACAGUUGAACAAGUGACCUCCUCCAGAACAGAUGGAGAGUCUCCAGAAGCAGAGGCUUUAGUGAACGAAAUUCGCAAUAAUCAGCUCCAGAUCCUGAAAAGGAGGGCGAAGAAUCAGUGGCCAAAGCUAACCGCUUCAUACCCACACUUCAUCCUCCUCAGUUUCUCUCCAGGCCACCAUGUCUGCAGGCAACGGCACCCCUUGGGGUCAGCAGCGGGGGAGGAGGUCUGGGCUGGAUCAGGAGUGGAGGUGGAGGGCUCAGAGCUGCCCACCUUCUCGGCAGCAGCCAAGGUCCGAGUGGGAGUGACCAUUGUGCUGUUUGUUUCUUCGGCUGGAGGGAACCUGGCAGUCCUGUGAUGCCACCUGGAAUAUCACUGUUCAAUGGCUGGCUGUGGACAUCGCAUGUCGGACACUGAUGUUCCUGAAACUAAUGGCCACGUAUUCUGCAGCUUUCCUGCCUGUGGUCAUUGGAUUGGACCGCCAGGCAGCAGUACUCAACCCGCUUGGAUCCCGUUCAGGUGUAAGGAAACUUCUGGGGGCAGCCUGGGGACUUAGUUUCCUGCUUGCCUUCCCCCAGGUGAGUGACCUAGGACUCAGGACCGGGCAGGACAGGGAUUUGGGUCCAUAGCAUGAGUUAAAGGGUGCGCUUGGGGGCCAUUAGCCAUUAAUUCUCAGGGAGUAAGCCUCUGCUUGCUUUUUUUUUUUUUUGCCGGCUCACUGCAACCUCCGCCUCCCGGGUUCAAGCAAUUCUCCUCCCUCAGCCUCCCGAGAAGCUACAGGCGCCCGCUACCAUGCCCGGCUAAUUUUUGUAUUUUUAGUAGAGGCGAGGUUUCACCAUGUUGGCCAGGUGGUCUCCAUCUCUUGACCUCAUGAUCCACCUGUCUCAGCCUCCCAAAGUGCUGAGAUUACAGGCGUGAGCCACCGCACCCUGCUACCUCUGCUCUCUCUUCUGUAAGAUUAUUUGUAUGUUAAUUUACAUCUGUUAAGAGCCUGCCUUUUCGAUUCCUCAGGGAUCUAGAACUAGAAAUACCAUUUGACCCAGCCAUCCCAUUACUGGGUAUAUACCCAAAGGACUAUAAAUCAUGCUGCUAUAAAGACACAUGCACACAUGUUUAUUGCGGCACUAUUCACAACAGCAAAGACUUGGAACCAACCCAAAUGUCUAAUAAUGAUAGACUGGAUUAAGAAAAUGUGGCACAUAUACACCAUGGAAUACUAUGCAGCCGUAAAAAAUGAUGAGUUCAUGUCCUUUGUAGGGACAUGGAUGAAAUUGGAAAUCAUCAUUCUCAGUAAACUAUUGCAAGGACAAAAAACCAAACACCGCAUGUUCUCACUCAUAGAUGGGAAUUGAACAAUGAGAACACAUGGACACAGGAAGGGGAACAUCACACUCUGGGGACUGUUGGGGGGUGGGGGGAGGGGGGAGGGAUAGCAUUAGGAGAUAUACCUAAUGCUAAAUGACGAGUUAAUGGGUGCAGCACACCAGCAUGGCACAUGUAUACAUAUGUAACUAACCUGCACAUUGUGCACAUGUACCCUAAAACUUAAAGUAUAAUAAUAAUAAUAAUAAUAAAAGAGCCUGCCUUGUAAAAACAGUAUCCUCUAUCUGUGCCUCUUCCAUUACAUCUGUUUUAUUACACGUGGUUUCUACCUCUUUGCAUCCUCCCAAUCUCACCUCCUUCAGAUUGGGGCAGGGAAGAAAAACAUACAUGGGGAUCUAUUAAGAGAGUGAAGUCAGUGGUUUGGGUAAAACUUUGUGGUACAUUUCAUUUAUCCAUUCAAAAAGUAAUAUGCAUCUCCAGCGCCACUCAAAUUUUGCUAAGGACAGGGCAGCAAAAUCCUGCCUUCAAGAAAUGUAUAGACUACUGCAAGAAACAAAGAAAUUAGGCAAUUACAAUAUAGUGUAUUCAAAAGUGUUAUGCUAAAGGAGCUAAAGAAGACAAUGGGGGUGGGGAGUGGAUAGGGGUGUCUGACACAGCCGUGCAGUCAGGAAAAGCUUUCCAGAUGUUAAAAUUUGAUUCUUCAGAGAUAGGUGUUAGACCAAUUAAAAUAGGAGAAAUGCUAGGGAGGAUGGAGGAUAGAGGAUCUCAAUGCUACUAAAGCUGAGGACUAGAAAAUGGUGAGUAAUGAACUGAGAGGGGAAGAGCAAGCCAGAUCACAAAUAAUAAAAUUGUACUUUAUUCUGAGUGCAGUGGAGAGACACUAAAGUAAAAAGAGAGUGACAUAACCAAAUUUGUGUUUUUUACUGACUUUAUUGUCGAAUGAGUGUUAAAAUUGCAAAGAGGCGAGCAUCUGAACCUGAGUACUAGGUUAAUCAAAUCUCAAAUCCAAUCCAAUACUGAAAAGGAACUAGAAAUCUAGAGGGGGAAAAGCUAAAUACAAAGCAAUUCCUUCAAGGCAAAAACCACUAUCACUAUCAUGGGGUUGGGGGGCAGGAUACAACAGCAUCUCUGAGACUGUAGGAUUAGAAUUAUGUCAGAAGGAGGCCAAGAAGGGUCUAGGAUUUAUCUCUGGAAUGACAAUGCAUUAUACUGAUUUAAGAUUUGAUCCUUACUUACAUCCUCAAUUAUUAGAAAUAUAACUACUAGAAGUUAGUCUGACUAUACUCCUAAGAACAAAGAAAGGCCUGGUGGCUCAAGCCUGUAAUCCCAGCAUUUUGGAAGGCCAAGGUGGGUGGAUCACUUGAGGUCAGGAGUUUAAGACCAACCUGGCCAACAUGACGAAACCCCAUCUCUACUAAAAAUACAAAAAUUAGCCGGGUAUAGUGGUGAGCACCUGUAAUCCCAACUACUCAGGAGGCUGAGGCACGAGAAUUGCUUGAACCUGGGAAGUGGAGGCUGCAGUGAGCCAAGACUGCACCACUGCACUCCGGCGUGGGCGGCAGAGCCAGACUCUGUUGGGGGUGGGGUGGGGGGGAAAGAGAAAAAUAAUACUUCUAAUAUGUUGCAAACAAGACCUUUACCAAUCCAAGUGUUAAAAAGAAGCCUGUUGCUACAGUGCCAUUUACAAUUAGGUUUGUUUAUAUGAAGCAAAUUUUACAUGUGGACUGGGAAUUAGAAGACUUUUUGUUUCAGUCUGCCUGUUUUACUUUGUUUUUUUCUGAGUCUCGGCUCUACUGCUAACUAGCUAUAUGAUUUUGGCUAAGGCACUUGAAAUCCAUGGGCCACAAGAUGAUGCAAUGGGAAAUGAAUUUCAUCCUUUCUUACAGCCUGACAAUCUGACAAUAUUUGCAACCUCUAUUUGUUUCAAUGGCAAACUGGUUGUGACAUGAUACAUGUGCGAAAGGUGAUUUUUUUUGUUCCAAAUUAGUAUCCUUUUAGGUAAAUUCUGUAUUGCCCAUAUGCUGUAAUUGUAGUUAAAAUAUUAGUGUUAAUAAAAUAAAAAAUUUAAUAAUGUCACGUUAGAGUGGUAAGGGCUUAGGGGUAGUUAUAGGUAGUAUUAGGAGUAGUUAGAAAUUACUUAUUUUUGUAGGCUUGUUUCCAAGUUAUCAGCAGUUGAAAGGGAUGUUUCUACAGUACGUGGUAAAUGGCAAUAAAACAGGAUAAAGGAAAGAUCAAAACAAGGCUGUGGACCAAACUAUAAAUCCAAGAGCUUUGAUUAUUAUUUUUUUUUUUUUUGGAGACAGUCUUACUCUGUCGCCCAGGCUGGAGUGCAAUGGCGCAAUCUCUGCUCACUGCAAGCUCCGCCUCCUGGGUUCAGGUCAUUCUCCUGCCUCAGCCUCCCGAGUUCCCAAGUAGCUGGGACUACAGGCACCUACCACCACGCCCGGCUAGUUUUUUGUAUCUUUAGUACAGACAGGGUUUCACUGUGUUAGCCAGGAUGGUCUCCAUCUCCUAACCUCGUGAUCCGCCCGCCUCAGCCUCCCAAAGUGCUGGGAUUACAGGCGUGAGCCACCGCGCCCAGCCAGCUUUGACUAUUUUUAUACUCCUCACAAUUCUCAAGCACUUCUUAGGCAGAGCACAAAAACAAAAACAAAAAAAAAAACUUAGAAAUAUAUGAAUGCAAGAGAUGGGAAGAGGAAAGACCAUUUCCCAACUAGCUCAGAGUAGCCUGAUCGUAACUCCAAACAGUUCACAAAAUUCUCUUAGGCUGAAACUAUUCAUCUUUCCUAAAUGUCCCUCAUGUCUGCUAAAAUCACUUUCCCAAAUGCCUUGUAUCUAGGAAUCUGAUGCCUACUGAGCUUACCUUUUAUCAAAUUAAUAGUGACUCAAUCUCCAUUACUGGAAAGCAGGCACUUUAACCUUGUAGCUCUAAACAGAAAUAGUUUUUACUGAUUCAGUUGGAAAACCCAGCAAUUUAACAAAAAGGGGGAGGGGCAGCCCAAUAGCAUUUGGAAAAUGUUAAAUUUUAUUAUUUAACAUUCUUUACCAUUAUAGUUACUGCACAUAAGACUAUUACUACUAAAGGUCACUUCAGAGUCCCUGCAAAAUGGCCUGGAAUUUUGGCAGCACCCAUUUUACACAAUAUUUCUUUUUCCACAAAAUAACAGACAUACCAGGAAAAUCAUUUCAGCUAAAAAUAUGAGUGAGGUGGUAGAAAUAUCAUCCCUUAUAAAGCGCAAUGUUAGAAUAGUACUUGAGAAAGCAGGAUUGUUUUAAGUUCCAAGAUUUAACAAACUUACUGUUCAGCAUCAUAUUCAAGCCUAAAAGGAAGAUAGGAUUUUCAAGAUAUAUUUCCAACUUCUUUAACAUGGCACCAUGGAUGAACUGUUUCUCAGCACUGUGCUGCUUCACUUGGAAUUAAGGAUGAAUUGGGAGGAGACAGUAUGACAUAGGUGGGUAGGUUGGGUGGUGAGGGGAACCAGUUCUAAUAGUCCUCAACUCCACUCCAGCUGUUCCUGUUCCACACGGUCCACUGAGCUGGCCCAGUCCCUUUCACUCAGUGUGUCACCAAAGGCAGCUUCAAGGCUCAAUGGCAAGAGACCACCUAUAACCUCUUCACCUUCUGCUGCCUCUUUCUGCUGCCACUGACUGCCAUGGCCAUCUGCUAUAGCCGCAUUGUCCUCAGUGUGUCCAGGCCCCAGACAAGGAAGGGGAGCCAUGGUGAGACUCCAAUUCCCAGGCCUUAAUCCUUAACCCUAGACCUGUUGCCUCUAGCAUCAUUUAUUUAUCUACCUACCUAAUAGCUAUCUACCAGUCACUAAACCAUGGUGAGAUUCUAACCAUGUCUAGCACCUGAUGCUAGAGAUAAUUUUGUUGAAUCCCUUCAAUUAUAAACAGCUGAGUUAGCUGGACAAGGACUAGGGAGGCAAUCAGUAUUAUUUAUUCUUGAACACCAUCAAGUCUAGACUUGGUGGCUUCAUAUUUCUAUCAUAAUCCCUGGGGGUAAGAAAUCAUAUAGUCCCAGGUUGGGAAGGGGAAAACGGUUUGCAACAUUCUCCUCCUUGUAGGAGGCGAGCUCUGUCUCACUAGCUAUGCCCCUCCAUCAAUUCACCCUAUACUCAGAUCAGAAGCUGAGUGUCUGAAUUACAGUAUAUUUUCUAAAUUCCUAGCCCCUGCUGGUGAAUUUGCCCUCCCCCGCUCCUUUGACAAUUGUCCCCGUGUUCGUCUCCGGGCCCUGAGACUGGCCCUGCUUAUCUUGCUGACCUUCAUCCUCUGCUGGACACCUUAUUACCUACUGGGUAUGUGGUACUGGUUCUCCCCCACCAUGCUAACUGAAGUCCCUCCCAGCCUGAGCCACAUCCUUUUCCUCUUGGGCCUCCUCAAUGCUCCUUUGGAUCCUCUCCUCUAUGGGGCCUUCACCCUUGGCUGCCGAAGAGGGCACCAAGAACUUAGUAUAGACUCUUCUAAAGAAGGGUCUGGGAGAAUGCUCCAAGAGGAGAUUCAUGCCUUUAGACAGCUGGAAGUACAAAAAACUGUGACAUCAAGAAGGGCAGGAGAAACAAAAGGCAUUUCUAUAACAUCUAUCUGAUCCUAACAGAGUAUGUAGGAACAGAAUAGUAAGUCUUUAGUGCCAUAAGAUCUUAACAUCUCACUUCUACUCCUGCUCUCCUAGUUCCCCCCAAAAAAGAAAUACUGA